rnacentral:lncRNA from 1 species
CGCAGUGGCCUCUUGGCCGCAUGUGUGACUUCGCUCACCUGCUGCUGAUCCUGCUCAAGCUGCAACUGAUCAGCUGCAUGGGCUGUAAGCGCAUGCAAGGAGCCGCCAGACUGGCUGCCUACCACCACUGCCUCUGACAUUUGCAGGUCCCUGCUAGGCUUGUGCUGGUCCUCAUCUGGCCUGAGCACCUGUGCUUUCUUGCUGGGC